rnacentral:lncRNA from 1 species
CGGGAGUAUAGCACAGCCUGUGAAGCCUCCCGCCAGCGCUUCAGGCAAUUCCAAUAUGAUGAAGCAGAUGGGCCUCAAGAGGCCUUCUGCAAACUCUGGGAACUUUGUUCCCAGUGGCUGAAGCCACAGACGCACUCUGUGGAGCAGAUCCUGGCACUGCUCGUGUUGGAGCAAUUCCUGCAUAUUCUGCCCAGUAGAAACACUGAGACCCAGACGUUCAGCCCUGAGAUUAGACAAAGAUUUCUCACCCUGAUAGAAGACCUCAAGAGAGAUUACAAGAGGCCAGGGAACAAGGUGAAGAGUGGUUGGGGUUGGUUGUUCUUAUGCCCAAAGAGGAGGCAGGCAGCUGGGUCCAGAUGAGCCAUUCUGUCUCUGUGUCAUUCCACAGCCCCCAGCCUUCCCCAGAGCCCCUUUCAACAUUCUCUUCUGCUGGAGUCAGCACGGAGCCUCAGAUCAACGUGCAUGACAUGCUCCUGGAAGAACUGAUGUCAAUGGGUAUGUUUCUCACACAAUCCAACACACCUGUGAGUCCACCCAAACUGCAGAUAAUAGAACCUGUCCAGGAGAUCCGUGAGAUCCCAGCACAAGGGCCACGGCAAAGCAGCUUCCAUGAUUCUGGCCAAAGCCAGACCUUUCUGGAUAUUGGU